CAAAUGGGUGAUUAAUGCUUGGAUUGAAAGAGCAUCUCCUUCAACCUCUACUACCAAGAGUCCCAAUUCUAAAUCGAGUUGAAGUCCCUGAACACAUGCAAGGGCCUCCGCCACAAACGCCGUAGGUAUGUUUUCGUUUAACGCAGACAUUGAUCCCAAAACCUGACCCUCUGAAUCCCUUAUAACUACCCUUGAGCAAGAUCUGUUUUCAUGUUUUUAAAAGCUGCAUUGAAAUUUAUCUUCACACUUGGGCUCUCCGGUGAUUGUCACUUCUCAACCCCCAUCCUUCUGGCAGGCAAAGGUCUGACAUUGAUUGACAGAGUUAUGCUCGAAAAACCAAGUAACCCAUUCCAUAUAUUCGAGAUCUGAUACCGAAUGUGGCCAUGCAAAAUUCGAUUGUUGCCAUAUCUCCCUUGUCACAGGUCAAUCACACAGUGCAUGCUCUCUGGUUUCCAUCUCUCCCGCACAUCUAGGGCAUAUUGUUGUUGCUACUAGUCUUUUAUAUUAUAAAUUACAUUGGAUAGGAAGGAAAUUAAUGGAAAAACGCCAUAUUGUUAUCUUCAAUUUUGAGGACAAGUUUAGUCCCCAUAAUUUCUUGUAGAAAUCCAUAUGUGCAGUUUGGCUGUAUAGAUGAUUAGGAUCGAUAGUCCCUUGUAAUAAAAGCUUGUAGCCACUUUAGACAGAA